CCCCAAAUUACCAUCAUCACUAUUAAUAAUAUAACAACCACAUUGUUCCCAAUCUGCCAAAACCUACGACUUCUAACUAACGAAAAAGGUGCAGUUCGCGAUAUACUUAUUGUCUUGAUGCUGACCUAUACCCCGGGCAUGAUAUUUAAUAUGUAAAAAGCAUUGCCAAUCAGGUCCAACCAAAGCGUCAGCGUUAUUGAUAUGAAGUUCAUACAUGCAUAUUAAUGCCACAUAUUAAUGUUAAUAUUAAUGAUGAAAAAACAAUAUUGUAUAAUAAUGCAAAAAAUGCAUGGUAAAA